rnacentral:lncRNA from 1 species
AAGAAAAUGAAAAUGACGAUCAUGAUAAUGAUGAUAAUGAAGAUAAGAUGAUUAGAAACAGAACCAGCUGGCAAAAAACAGAAGAUGGUCAAUGAGAUAAAUGUGUGAUAGAGCUGGAAGGAAAGAGCAGCUCACCAGUAAUUGAUGUGAUAAAAAUUAGCUUCUGGGUUGGGUUGCUGGGCCCACAAACAGUGGCAGAGGUACUACAGCAUGCAAACAGUAUGAACACCACGGCAGGCCUGCACACACAAGACAAGGGUGAUCCUCUCUAACAGUGAUCUGAGAAUCAUCUCGAGACAGGAGGAUGAUAUCUUUGGGGAGUUGUUCCAGCCAUGGGAUCUCGACAGUUGUAUGCAGUCCAGGGAUUUUGACAGUUGGAUGCAGUCCGGAGAUCUCGACAGUUGUAUGCAGUCGGGAGAUAUUGACAGUUGUAUGUAGUCAGGAGAUCUCGACAGUUGUAUGCAGUCCGGAGAUCUUGACAGUUGUAUACAGUCCGGGGAUCUUGACAGAUGUAUGCAGUCCGGAGAUAUUGACAUUUGUAUACAGUCAGGAGAUCUCAGUUCUUUUUGUACUUUUGGCAUUCUCAAGAUUCAGUCUCAAAUAGAAAUAUUCAGUCUCAAAUAGAAAUAACUUUGACUGCUUAAAAGCUUUUCUUUAACUUGCAAAUGUGCACCCUGUGACAUUCGUAUAUAGAAGACAUGUGUGUGAAAUACAAUGAAUAUGAACUGUCAGUGUUCAGUUGAAAUAUUUCAAGAAAUGUUUUUAACACAGUGAGACUGAAAAUAAGAAAUAAUUAGGAAGUAAGCUAUGGACAUUUGAACAAAGACCAGUGACUCUGUGGUUUGGCUCAGUCCGAAAUAACGAUGGAUGACUUUGACUGAAAAAGAAAACCACAAACUGGACACCCUGGAAUAAUGUUGUUUGAAUAAAUUGUUUUUUUUUCUUAUUUUGUAAGAAUAUCCCUUGCAUUUCCUGUCUUAAGAAUGUUGGUAGUUGUUUUUACUAAAGGCCCUUUAAUUGACUUGGGUAUUAUUUAAAUUUCAUAUUGUUUGAUUGCUUUACAUAAAUUUUAAACUAAUCAAUGUAUUGUCAAAAUGAUGCACUUGGGCUUGCUAUAGGGAAUUUACCUUUGUCAGUCUUCGAAUUUGUGUAUGUCAGUCUUCGAAUUUUUGUAUUGUUGCACAUGUUUUGCAGUUCUCAUGAGAUGUAGUUAACAACUGACAGUUGUUAUAUGCAUGGAGGCUUGUUUCAUGUCGAAAUAUAAAGAUCUAAUUACAUUCUUUCUACAGUACAUAUUUUGAGUUAAUAUGGAUAGAACUGUAUAGACAGCAAAAAGUAUUGAUUGGUAUGCUCGAGUUUUGUGAGUCUGCUUUGAAAAAUCACAACACCUCAUCAUUCCUAACAGUCUGAUGUAAUAUCUUAUUUUUAAAGAAUUAACUGUGUAAAGAAAUGUAGAUUUUGACAAAAGAUCUAACAUUUGCAAAAGUACCAAUAUUGUGUCAUGUAUUGAGCUAUAUAUUUAGAACCUAACAUGUAUUUUAAAUGUAGUUUUAAAGGUACGAACUGUAACUUCGUGCUUGCCGAUGUUUGUUUUUACUAAGAUAACGCCGAUUCACACUCUGACACGAGAUCACACGAGA